GAUGAACGCUGGCGGCGUGCCUAAUACAUGCAAGUCGAGCGAACAGACGAGGAGCUUGCUCCUCUGACGUUAGCGGCUGACGGGUGAGUAACACGUGGAUAACCUACCUAUAAGACUGGGAUAACUUCGGGAAACCGGAGCUAAUACCGGAUAAUAUAUUGAACCGCAUGGUUCAAUAGUGAAAGACGUGUUUGCUGUCACUUUUAGAUGGAUCCGCGCCGCAUUAGCUAGUUGGUAAGGUAACGGCUUACCAAGGCAACGAUGCGUAGCCGACCUGAGAGGGUGAUCGGCCACCCUGGAACUGAGACACGGGCCAGACUCCUACGGGAGGCAGCAGUAGGGAAUCUUCCGCAAUGGGCGAAAGCCUGACGGAGCAACGCCGCGUGAGUGAUGAGGGUCUUCGGAUCGUAAAACUCUGUUAUUAGGGAAGAACAAAUGUGUAAGUAACUAUGCACGUCUUGACGGUACCUAAUCAGAAAGCCACGGCUAACUACGUG
rnacentral:rRNA from 1 species